UACGGAGGGUGCAAGCGUUAUCCGGAAUCAUUGGGUUUAAAGGGUCCGCAGGCGGUCUUAUAAGUCAGUGGUGAAAGCCUACAGCUCAACUGUAGAACUGCCAUUGAUACUGUAAGACUUGAAUUCGGUCGAAGUGGGCGGAAUAUGACAUGUAGCGGUGAAAUGCUUAGAUAUGUCAUAGAACACCGAUAGCGAAGGCAGCUCACUAGGUCUGGAUUGACGCUCAGGGACGAAAGCGUGGGGAGCAAACAGG
rnacentral:rRNA from 1 species